rnacentral:rRNA from 1 species
AUUGAACGCUGGCGGCAGGCCUAACACAUGCAAGUCGAGCGGAUGAAGGGAGCUUGCUCCUGGAUUCAGCGGCGGACGGGUGAGUAAUGCCUAGGAAUCUGCCUGGUAGUGGGGGAUAACGUCCGGAAACGGGCGCUAAUACCGCAUACGUCCUGAGGGAGAAAGUGGGGGAUCUUCGGACCUCACGCUAUCAGAUGAGCCUAGGUCGGAUUAGCUAGUUGGUGGGGUAAAGGCCUACCAAGGCGACGAUCCGUAACUGGUCUGAGAGGAUGAUCAGUCACACUGGAACUGAGACACGGUCCAGACUCCUACGGGAGGCAGCAGUGGGGAAUAUUGGACAAUGGGCGAAAGCCUGAUCCAGCCAUGCCGCGUGUGUGAAGAAAGUCUUCGGAUUGUAAAGCACUUUAAGUUGGGAGGAAGGGCAGUAAGUUAAUACCUUGCUGUUUUGACGUUACCAACAGAAUAAGCACCGGCUAACUUCGUG